UCCCGCUUUCGCGGGCAGUCUCCUUAGAGUGCCCGGCCGGACCGCUGGCAACUAGGGAUAAGGGUUGCGCUCGUUGCGGGACUUAACCCAACAUCUCACGACACGAGCUGACGACGGCCAUGCAGCACCUGUCUCAGCGCUCCCUUGCGGGCACCCCACCCUUUCGGGCGGGUUCGCUGGAUGUCAAGGCCUGGUAAGGUUCUGCGCGUCGCUUCGAAUUAAACCACAUGCUCCACCGCUUGUGCGGGCCCCCGUCAAUUCCUUUGAGUUUCACACUUGCGUGCGUACUUCCCAGGCGGAGUGCUUAACGCGUUAGCUACGGCACCCGGCGGAAGCCGGACACCCAGCACUCAUCGUUUAGGGCGUGGACUAC
rnacentral:misc_RNA from 1 species